UACGUAGGGGGCGAGCGUUGUCCGGAAUGAUUGGGCGUAAAGGGCGCGUAGGCGGCCUGUUAAGUCUGGAGUGAAAGUCCCGCUUUUAAGGUGGGAAUUGCUUUGGAAACUGGCGGGCUUGAGUGCAGGAGAGGUUAGUGGAAUUCCCGGUGUAGCGGUGAAAUGCGUAGAGAUCGGGAGGAACACCAGUGGCGAAGGCGACUAACUGGACUGUAACUGACGCUGAGGCGCGAAAGUGUGGGGAGCAAACAGGAUUAGAUACCCUGGUAGUCCACACGGUAAACGAUGAAUGCUAGGUGUAGGGGGUAUCGACCCCUUCUGUGCCGGAGUAAACACAAUAAGCAUUCCGCCUGGGGAGUACGGCCGCAAGGUUGAA
rnacentral:rRNA from 1 species